CAGUGGCGUAGCACACUCGAUAAUUGGGGGGGGGAGGCAAUAUUCAUAUAUUCGUGUUCUGCGUUACUAAUUUCUUUUUAAAUCGAUUGUUUUUAAGGGCUGUAAACACGAAUAUAUGAAUAUUGCCCCCCCCCCCAAUUAUCGAGUUUGCUACGCCACUG
rnacentral:miRNA from 1 species